ensembl:lncRNA
UUUUUUUUUUUUUUUUGAGACAAGGUCUUGCUGUGUUGACCAGGUUGGUCUUGAACUGCUGGCCUUAAAUGAUCCUUCCAUGUCAGUCUCCCAUUACAGAUAUGAGCCACUACACCUAGCCAAAAUGUUUCUUGAGGGAACAAAACCUUAUGUCUGAUUGACACACUUAAACACCAAGGGACUAUCUUUUAAUGGAAUGCUAUUGUGUUCUGAGGCAUGACAUUAAUAUCCUCAUAGGCUGGCCUGUUUCAUACACCUGACAUCCUGAAACAUGAACUGCUGUCCUUGGCACAAGUAUCAAUGUGUGGCUUUACCAGUGCAAGUUUUGGGGUUUUUCUUUCUCACUUCAACUAGAAGGUAAGUAGUUACCCACGAAGUAAUGCAAAUUCCUUCCCUCUAACCUACAAAAUUUAAUACUAAACUUAGAAAGUUACAGGUUUUAAAACCUUUUUUCUUUAACCUAAGAACUACUGUUUCAGCUCAAAUGUAAUUAUGCAUCAAAAUCAUAUCAAAUCAAUAAAAUAAAAUGACAUCCUCUAAAUCUUUAAGUUUCAAUGUGUUUUCCAACACAGUUUAACUAAGGAAUAAUAUCUAGGAUGUUCGUCUAAGAAAAGGAAUAUACCCUCCUGCUGCCACAUACCAAAUGCCCUUGUAUUUGUUUAAAACAGUAUUCUGGAAAGGAUAGAAAAAUGAAACUAGAAGAGUCCCUUGCUAUCUUCUAGCCUAACUCUUAUGUGAUGAAGGAAAAUCUGGAAUUAAAAAGCUAUUGUUUGUUAGGAUUAACGGCUGUUGGAUUGCUCGAAAGACACUCCUAAAAUUACAUGGAUGGACAAACAGCCUGAAUAAAGAAAUGAGCAAACUUUCCCAAGAGUUUCCUUGGCUGGCUGGGUCACUGACUGACAGCUGACAAGGUUUUCAAUAAUGUGACUCAGCUGGUUCUAUAAUGCUGUGUGCCUCAAACAUAAUUAAAAGUGUUAAGAAUUUUGUAGCCUUUAUCAGAACAUAUUCUCCCCACAUGCCUUCAGUGACCUGGUCACAAUUACUAGAGACAAAUAACUCUCUCAUUUUACUCUGUGUAUUAAGGUCAUUGUACCCUAGGCAACUUUCCUGACUGUAUCUUCUCCAGAUCUAGGAGACUCCAAAACCUACCCAGAUGAAUUGUGUGGGGUCACUUCAGCAACAUCCCUUUUCUUUCUCAGGAUGACAGCAAACAAUUAGCGUUCUUGGAUAUUUUUGGAGAGGAGAAAUGCAUAUGGUUUUGGUCAUUUUAUAUCAGCCACUUUUGUUAGUCCAUCCACACAUUAAUGAAAUGAGAUAGGACUUGCAGAGCUGAAAGGGACUUGAGAAAUCAUCAGGUUGCCCCUAACAUUUUACAUUUUGGAAGUCGGGGGCUAUAAAUGUCAAAUGGCUUAUGAGCAUCUGAGUCUUCUAACUGCUAGUGCACUCUUCCUAUGCCACACUAUAAAAACGUGAGUCUGUAUCUUUGCAUCCAGAGCUGGGAUAACCAUGAAGAUCACGCACGUCAAAUUCAGGGUAUAAAAAUAGUUAUUAGUGACCAAGAUGAGACAAUGCCGAGUAUUCUUGAGAUGAGAGUAAACGCUUAUUAAGCACC